UUGAUUUGGUUUGGUCUUUAGAUUUAAUAACCUUAUACAAUUAAUUUGGUUUGGUAAUUGUAAAAUUCGAACCAACCCGAUCUAUGUACACCCCUAAUUAGAACCACAAAAGAAUAAAAGGAUUAAUUUUGCCCUCCAGUAUUGGGAUACAAUACAGGCUGCGUUAUCCUUCUCAUCUUUGUACUUGUAUAUCCAAAAUCCUCUACACGUCUAAACUUGAAAUGUUAAAACAAAUAGGCCUAAUAUGAACUUGAUUCACUGAUUUGCUAUGUUCUCCUCUCACAUGAAAUCAUAAUCAUCAUAACCAUCGAAAGCGUUAAUUACUGCAUCGUCAUCUGCCCGAUCAACUUGCAGCUGCUUCUUUUUCGCGCCUGUAAAAAGAAGAGACUGCUUAAAUCUCUG
rnacentral:lncRNA from 1 species